rnacentral:rRNA from 1 species
UACGGGGGGGGCAAGCGUUGUUCGGAAUUACUGGGCGUAAAGGGCUCGUAGGUGGCCAACUAAGUCAGACGUGAAAUCCCUCGGCUUAACCGGGGAACUGCGUCUGAUACUGGAUGGCUUGAGUUUGGGAGAGGGAUGCGGAACUCCAGGUGUAGCGGUGAAAUGCGUAGAUAUCUGGAGGAACACCGGUGGCGAAGGCGGCAUCCUGGACCAACACUGACACUGAGGAGCGAAAGCCAGGGGAGCAAACGGG